GACGUAGGGCGCGAGCGUUGUCCGGAUUUAUUGGGCGUAAAGAGCUCGUAGGCGGUGUGUCGCGUCGGCCCGUGAAAACCUGCAGCUUAACUGUGGGCUUGCGGUCGAUACGGGCAUCACUGGAGUUCGGCAGGGGAGACUGGAAUUCCUGGUGUAGCGGUGAAAUGCGCAGAUAUCAGGAGGAACACCGGUGGCGAAGGCGGGUCUCUGGGCAGUGAACUGACGCUGGAGGCGCGAAGGCUAGGGGAGCGAACGGG
rnacentral:rRNA from 1 species